GCCCUUCACUCUGGGACAAGCCCUGGAAACGGGGUCUAAUACCGGAUAACACUCUGUCCCGCAUGGGACGGGGUUAAAAGCUCCGGCGGUGAAGGAUGAGCCCGCGGCCUAUCAGCUUGUUGGUGGGGUAAUGGCCUACCAAGGCGACGACGGGUAGCCGGCCUGAGAGGGCGACCGGCCACACUGGGACUGAGACACGGCCCAGACUCCUACGGGAGGCAGCAGUGGGGAAUAUUGCACAAUGGGCGAAAGCCUGAUGCAGCGACGCCGCGUGAGGGAUGACGGCCUUCGGGUUGUAAACCUCUUUCAGCAGGGAAGAAGCGAAAGUGACGGUACCUGCAGAAGAAGCGCCGGCUAACUACGUGCCAGCAGCCGCGGUAAUACGUAGGGCGCAAGCGUUGUCCGGAAUUAUUGGGCGUAAAGAGCUCGUAGGCGGCUUGUCACGUCGGAUGUGAAAGCCCGGGGCUUAACCCCGGGUCUGCAUUCGAUACGGGCUAGCUAGAGUGUGGUAGGGGAGAUCGGAAUUCCUGGUGUAGCGGUGAAAUGC
rnacentral:rRNA from 1 species